GAAAUGCGAUAAGUAGUGUGAAUUGCAGAAUUCAGUGAAUCAUCGAAUCUUUGAACGCACAUUGCGCCCCUUGGUAUUCCAUGGGGCAUGCCUGUUCGAGCGUCAUCUACACCCUCAAGCUCUGCUUGGUGUUGGGCGUCUGUCCCGCCCCCGCGCGUGGACUCGCCCCAAAUCCAUUGGCAGCGUUCCUUGCCCCCUCUCGCGCAGCACAUUGCGCUUCUCGAGGGCGGCUCCGGGACGCGAUCCAGCAAGAUGACCACCGUCUUUGACCUCGGAUCAGGUAGGGAUACCCGCUGAACUUGAGC
rnacentral:misc_RNA from 1 species